CACGUAGGCUGUUAUGUAAGUCAGGGGUGAAAGCCCACGGCUCAACCGUGGAACUGCCCUUGAUACUGCACGACUCGAAUCCGGGGGAGGGUGGCGGAAUUCCAGGUGUAGGAGUGAAAUCCGUAGAUAUCUGGAGGAACAUCAGUGGCGAAGGCGGCCACCUGGACCGGUAUUGACGCUGAGGUGCGAAAGCGUGGGGAGCAAACA
rnacentral:rRNA from 1 species